CACGUAUGUAACCUACCUUUAUCAGGGGGAUAGCCUCUCGAAAGAGAGAUUAAGCCCGCAUAACAUCAUUUUAUGGCAUCAUAGGAUGAUCAAAUAUUUAUAGGAUAAAGAUGGGCAUGCGGAACAUUAGCUAGUUGGUAAGGUAAAGGCUUACCAAGGCUACGAUGUUUAGGGGAUCUGAGAGGAUGACCCCCCACACUGGUACUGAGACACGGACCAG
rnacentral:rRNA from 1 species